CAAAGUUUCAUGCAUGUUGGAAGGAGGCUGCAGCACCAGCCGGGCUUGUUUUCUUCUCUGUUUCCUGUAGUAGUUCUCAAAGGUUUCUCGGGCACCCAGCACGGAGUAGAUGUGCAGGCAGCGGUACACGGGCGAGAAGUCCACCAGCUCCUGGGCCCCGGGCACCUCUUCAUCCUCCUCCUCAUCUUCAACAUCCAGGAUACCCGAAUCCUGCUCAGACAUGGGGCUAGUGUUC
rnacentral:lncRNA from 1 species